ACCACGGUGGUCACCCGGGAGCUGUGCAGGAAUCAGCCCAUUCAAGCACCCGGUGGGAUGUACCCAACCUGAGCGAAUUUAAGAUGGAAAGAGUGGAAAGUCAUAGAACAGAAUGAGAUUUCACAUAGAACUCAUCAACAGAUUACGGCCUGCAAGCCUCAGUCGACAUUAUUACGUUAAUCAAGGUGAACUCAGGAAUCAACAAGCCAUGACGACGCAGGCCGAAAUCAUCGCAGAGGUAGUUUGAUUUCACUGAUGUGUCUCAAAUUUUAAUGCGUACUAUGAUCAUUUAACUCUGUAGGAGAAUACAUUGGUUGUGUUAUUCAAGUGUCUUCCUUUACAGCAGGUGGGGGAAGAAGAAAGCCAAAGAAGACGGUGAAUACAAAACCCCAUUUACAACAGGAGCACUGACCAUCUCAACCGUCUGUAGAGAAUCAAGGACAGAGAACAUCCUCUGACAACGACCGCUAUUGACUUUCAUUUCUAUUUCUACUAGUUUAACUUAUUUUUUUUAAAGUAGUACAUGUCUUUGGGAUUUGUAGCAUGAAUCACUGUAUUUCACUGCUUUUGCUGCACAUCUAUGACUGCUGUUUUACAAAGUACAUUAAAUCAAUACCUCACU